AUUGACCGCUGGCGGCAGGCCUAACACAUGCAAGUAGAACGAGGGGCGGACAGGUGAGUAAUGUCUGGGAAACUGCCUGAUGGAGGGGGUUCACUACUGGAAAAGGUAGAUAAUACCGCAUACCAUCGGAUUUGCCCUGAUGGGAUUAGAUAGUAGGUGGGGUAAAGGUUCACCUAGGCGACGAUCCCUCUCUGGUCUGAGAGGAUGACCAGACACACUGGAACUGCGACACGGUCCGGACUCCUACGGGAGGCAGCAGUGGGGAAUAUUACACGAUGGGCGCAAGCAUGAUGCAGCCAUGCCGCGUGUAUGAAGAAGGCCUUCGGGUUGUAGAGUACUUUCAGCGGGGAGGCGUUACCCGCAGAAGAAGCACCGGCUAACUCCGUGCCAGCAGCCGCGGUAAUAC
rnacentral:rRNA from 1 species